rnacentral:piRNA from 1 species
CCCUUUAAGUGACCUUUAGAUUUUUCAGGUC